AACGCACAUUGCGCCCCCUGGUAUUCCGGGGGGCAUGCCUGUUCGAGCGUCAUUACACCACUCAAGCCUGGCUUGGUAUUGGGCGACGGGGGGAGACCCCCCCGCCUGAAUUUCUCCGGCUGCGACCUCGUCGAACCCAGCGUUGUGGACAUCCCGUUCGCUGUGGGACUCGCGGGUAGGCGGCCGACCGAAACCGCGCUCCGGCGCCUUCUCAGGUUGACCUCGGAUCAGGUAGGGAUACCCGCUGAACUUAA
rnacentral:misc_RNA from 1 species